rnacentral:lncRNA from 1 species
AAUCUCCCAGCGUCCACUCUUCCUCUGGGUACCGCGUUGGUGUAAAACUCCUUCACCAACUCCACACCGGCAGGUGCCGGGUAAGUCGUCAAUUUUUCCCAAUCUCUCCUCAAAAUUUCCUCCUCAAAUUCUGGAACCAAAUCAGGUAAAAAGGAGGUUUUCCUCUCCAUAAACAACCUCCUUUCUUGUACAGUAGCAAAGUGUUCCUCAUGUUGCUUGGAGAGGAACCUUUGAGAGUCAAAUUCUCUCGAGCUUUCUGGCAUCUUCCUUUUGCCUGCAGUGUUUCUUGUUCGGUGCGAUGCUGAAGCCAUCUCUGUAAUAAACACAAUAUGCCACAAACCAUAGAAAUCCAUUGUCAGGAGUUAAUCUAUCAACAAAUAUUCAGAUCCAGCAAAAUUUUCAAAAUCAGUGCACAGAUUUCCCCCCAUUCAUAAUACAGAAAAACCACAAGGACACAGCAUACCGCCCGGCAGUACAGAGGCUUACCGCCCGGCGGUAUGCAUCCAACUUGAAUAUCGCCCG